rnacentral:sRNA from 1 species
ACCUCCUCCAGCUCCCGUCCCCCUUCCGCCGCGUGGGUGCCAUGGCAACGGAGAGAGACGGCAACCUGGGUUCCGGAAGCCGGAGAGCUGGAGCUUUGAAGCCACCCCGGUCAAAGGAUGCUGAGUCCGGAGCGCCUAGCCCUACCGGACUACGAGUAUCUGGUUUUAACAGUGUAUGCCAGGGAACACACAUUCUCUUUCGAGAAUUCAGCUUCGUCCAAGCCACCCCCCACAAUAGGGUAUCAUUUUUACGGGCCUUCUGGAGAUGCUUCCGAACUGUGGGCAAAAAUGGCGCCCCUCAUCCUAAACCUGGGAUCCGAUGGGCUCACCAAAGAUAAAGAUCUGGCUGCAGACUUUCGCUUCUUUCACUGAAAAGCUGAUCUAGCCAGACUUUACCUUCAAAAGACAGGCCCUGCACUUCUGAUGUUCCCUGAGCCUCUGCCACUGAGCCUACUCUCGUCCACUGCAGUCAUGAUGCUCUCUGGAUUCAGACAAUGGUGUGUUGUCCCAGAACACCUAUCUGGCCUGUCUCUGCUUCACAUCUACCCCUUUGGCU